rnacentral:lncRNA from 1 species
UGCCCAAACCCUAACGCUUAGCCUCCGUACACAAAUACUACCAGCUGUCUUUUGGUCCGUCGGCGAACAAACAUAUCAAUCGAGUCCAUGUCUGAUUAGGUAACGAAUCAACUCCAAAUCUGAUUACGUACGUGGACACUCAGCCCGGCUUACAAAUCGAGUCUGAUACGUGUACGUGCAGGUAAAUAUGUGUACGCUCUGUUCGGCUAACUGACC